GGAUGUGAGGGCGAUCUGGCUGCGACAUCUGUCACCCCAUUGAUCGCCAGGGUUGAUUCGACUGAUCUGGCUGGCUAGGCGGGUGUCCCCUUCCUCCCUCACCGCUCCAUGUGCGUCCCUCCCGAAGCUGCGUGCUCGGUCGAAGAGGACGACCAUCCCCGAUAGAGGAGGACUGUUCUUCGGUCAAGGGUAUACGAGUAGCUGCGCUCCCCUGCUAGAACCUCCAAACAAGCUCUCAAGGUCCAGAAAAUAACAUAUCUUAUCAUUGCAUUUAUAUAUGGUUUUAAAUAUAAUUAUUUAUUAGUUAUAU
ensembl:misc_RNA 7SK 7SK RNA